rnacentral:rRNA from 1 species
UACGUAGGGGGCAAGCGUUGUCCGGAAUCAUUGGGCGUAAAGAGCGUGUAGGCGCCAGACAGGUCCGUUGUGAAAACUAGAGGCUUAACCUCUAGACGUCGAUGGAAACCGUCUGGCUAGAGUCCGGAAGAGGAGAAUGGAAUUCCUGGUGUAGCGGUGAAAUGCGCAGAUAUCAGGAAGAACACCCGUGGCUAAGGCGGUUCUCUAGUACGGUACUGACGCUGAGACGCGAAAGCGUGGGGAGCGAACAGG